rnacentral:rRNA from 1 species
GACGAACGCUGGCGGCGUGCUUAACACAUGCAAGUCGAACGGAAAGGCCCUGCUUGCAGGGUACUCGAGUGGCGAACGGGUGAGUAACACGUGGGUGAUCUGCCCUGCACUUCGGGAUAAGCCUGGGAAACUGGGUCUAAUACCGGAUAGGAGCCAUUUUUAGUGUGAUGGUUGGAAAGUUUUUUCGGUGUUGGAUGAGCUCGCGGCCUAUCAGCUUGUUGGUGGGGUAAUGGCCUACCAAGGCGGCGACGGGUAGCCGGCCUGAGAGGGUGGACGGCCACACUGGGACUGAGGUGCGGCCCAGACUCCGACGGGAGGCAGCAGUGGGGAAUAUUGCACAAGGGGCGCAAGCCUGAUGAAGCGACGCCGCGGGGGGGAUGACGGCCUUCGGGUUGUAAACUCCUUUCGCUAGGGACGAAGCUUUUUGUGACGGUACCUAGAGAAGAAGCAACGGCUAACUACGUG